AUAUAAUUAGCAUAUUAUGCUUUGAUUGGUUGAACGGAUAACUGGAUGGCCAGACAGUUAGCAUAUUAGGAUAUUUAUUAUAUAGGAUGUCCAGAAUAGGGAAGUCCAUAGAGACAGAAGGUAGAUUCAUGGCUGCCAGAGGCAGGGGUGAGGGAGGGGGAAUGUGGAGCGACAGCUAAUGGGCAUGCAGUUUCUUUUUGGCGUGAUGAGAUGUUCUGGAAUUGGAUAGCGGUGGUGUUAGUAAAAUGUUAUGAGUAUGCUAAAACCACUGCAUUGCACACUUUCAAAGGAUGAAUUUUAUGGCAUGUGAAUUAUAUUUCAACAAAAAUGCAAAAGAAUAAGUAAGGGUAAAAAUAAAAUAUUUUUAUUUAUGGUAAAAUUGAGAGAAUUUUAUAAACAACUGACCCCUCAUUGAAGGAAUUUCUGAAGAUUGAACUUGAGAAGAAAAAUGACCUCAGAAAGAAAGUCUGAGACCCAAGAAGGGUAAAUAUAUUUAUUUACUAACAUAUAUCUUUAUUGAUUUCAGAGAGGAAGAACGUGUAAGAGAUAGAAACGUCAAUGAUGAGAGAUAACCAUCGAUCGGUGUGCAGGUUGAUGCUCAUCCAUUGAGCCACGCCAGCCUGGCAUGGUGCAGCUGCUCACCAGGGUGGACGCCUGCUCCCACCGCGUCCCUUACUCACCUUCCCUGGGGAACGACUCUGAGACUGAAGAUUUGCUCUCAGGAGUGUCACUGAGGAGUAUUCCCAGGAAUGCCCCUAAAAAGGGAGUGAGGGGAGCAGGAUUGGACAGAGGAAGAAGGUGAACAGCCCCAUGGGAAGAUCUGAAGCUGGGUGAUCCUCCAAAAAUUUCCUGGAUUGCAGCAAGGAGGGAGAAACUGCUGUCCGUGUGGGCACAUCACUCCCGGCUCCGUGAGUCACCAGCACCCGCCCCCCACUGAGGCAGGAGGUACCGACGGCUGUCCCAUCACGUGGUUUCAUAUUCAGG